AGCGAACGCUGGCGGCAGGCCUAACACAUGCAAGUCGAGCGCCCAGCAAUGGGAGCGGCAGACGGGAGAGUAACACGUGGGAACGUACCUUUCAGUUCGGAACAACCAAGGGAAACUUUGGCUAAUACCGGAUACGCCCGUAAGGGGAAAGAUUUAUCGCUGAAAGAUCGGCCCGCGUCUGAUUAGCUUGUUGGUGAGGUAACGGCUCACCAAGGCGACGAUCAGUAGCUGGUCUGAGAGGAUGAUCAGCCUCACUGGGACUGAGACACGGCCCAGACUCCUACGGGAGGCAGCAGUGGGGAAUAUUGGACAAUGGGCGCAAGCCUGAUCCAGCCAUGCCGCGUGGGUGAUGAAGGCCUUAGGGUUGUAAAGCUCUUUCAGCUGGGAAGAUAAUGACGGUACCAGCAGAAGAAGCCCCGGCUAACUCCGUGCCAGCCGCCGCAGUAACAC
rnacentral:rRNA from 1 species